UACGUAGGGGGCAAGCGUUGUCCGGAUUUAUUGGGCGUAAAGAGCGUGUAGGCGGCCAUGUAGGUCCGUUGUGAAAACUCGAGGCUCAACCUCGAGACGCCGAUGGAAACCAUGUGGCUAGAGUCCGGAAGAGGAGAGUGGAAUUCCUGGUGUAGCGGUGAAAUGCGCAGAUAUCAGGAAGAACACCCGUGGCUAAGGCGGCUCUCUAGUACGGUACUGACGCUGAGGAGCGAAAGCGUGGGUAGCAAACAGG
rnacentral:rRNA from 1 species